rnacentral:lncRNA from 1 species
GCAAACUAAUGAAGACUUUCAAAGAAGAUAUACGAUUCUUUUGUUACAGUCGGAGAAAUUGAUCACACAAAGUUCAGUGACAUCAUUGAAGGGACCUUAGGUUUUCCUGAUUCCACAACUUAAGAAAGAUUUUAUCUUCUUUUAUAGGGUCUAGGGAUGUAGACUAUCACAUGAGCUUUGUUUGAAAGCAUUUGUUCAGAAUGUAGAACUAGAAUUUUUUAAAAAGCAUUCGUUUUGAUAUUUUGUUAAAAGAGUUUCAGAAUUUAUAGGUAGUUUUCAUGAUAAAAUUCAAAGAAAAUUGAGCUCGUGGUUGCUUUGCUCUUGAAUAAACUAAUUUUGGAUU